rnacentral:rRNA from 1 species
UACGUAGGGUGCAAGCGUUGUCCGGAAUUAUUGGGCGUAAAGAGCUCGUAGGCGGUUCGUCGCGUCGGCUGUGAAAUCCCGGAGCUCAACUCCGGGUCUGCAGUCGAUACGGGCGGACUCGAGUUCGGCAGGGGAGACUGGAGUUCCUGGUGUAGCGGUGAAAUGCGCAGAUAUCAGGAGGAACACCGGUGGCGAAGGCGGGUCUCUGGGCCGAUACUGACGCUGAGGAGCGAAAGCGUGGGGAGCGAACAGG